rnacentral:rRNA from 1 species
GACGAACGCUGGCGGCGCGCUUAACACAUGCAAGUCGAACGGAAAGGCCUGCUUUCCCUUGUGGAUUGCGGGUACUCGAGUGGCGAACGGGUGAGUAACACGUGAGUGAUCUGCCCCCAACUUGGGUAUAAGCCUGGGAAACUGGGUCUAAUUCCCGAUAGGACUGCAGGGUGGUGCCUGUGGUGGAAAACGAUUUUCUAGUGGUUGGGGAUGAGCUCGCGGCCUAUCAGCUUGUUGGUGGGGUAAUGGCCUACCAAGGAGGCGACGGGUAGCCGGCCUGAGAGGGUGGACGGCCACAUUGGGACUGAGAUACGGCCCAGACUCCUACGGGAGGCAGCAGUGGGGAAUAUUGCACAAUGGGCGGAAGCCUGAUGCAGCGACGCCGCGUGGGGGAUGGCGGCCUUCGGGUUGUAAACUCCUUUCGACCGCGAGGAAGCCACCUGGUUGGAAGGGUGGUGACGGUAGUGGUAGAAGAAGCACCGGCUAACUACGUG